AACUUUUUCGUAUUACGUAUUUCAAAAUAUGCUGAAGCUCUAUUUUGCAGAAUGCAUGUGCAUUGUUGGGGCGCCCACCCAGUGGUAUGGAUGCCUCCUGGAGGGGUACAACAGCUACACACAGAGGGAAGUAGUUGUUAUAUGUGAAGAAAGGCUCUUGACAGCACCGGAACCACCUCCACUGGAGCACCUGCCAACCUCACUCCCCACUCCCCACCUCCAACCGGCAGCACCUAGGUAUGAUGCCCAGACCUGAACUCCAGGUGCAGUCGAGUCAGCAAAGGAGACCCCCAGGGACCUUUAUCUCUCUAGAAAGAGAUAUUGUACUUCUAAGACAACAUUUCUGGUGUCCACAUCAUGCCAUCGUAUUAUACUUCUUGAAUGUUUUAGCCUUCAAAUGGCUAAAUUUGUCUGCAAACAAAGCCUGCUCCCCUGGCCACAAACGACUGGACCAGUGAUUACUGUGUGAGUCAAAGACAGAAAUCAUGGUUGAAUACAGGGAGACCAGCUGCCUCUGAGGCGACAAAAACUCUGCCACAUGGAUGGUAGCAUCUGUCUCUUUGCCUUGGUGGGUGAGGAGUCAGAGAAUAAUAGAAGAGGAAGAGAUGUAGACAGAUCAUCUUCUUCA